UUAAUUGACUGUAUUUGGUUUCAUGUCAUUUUGAAGAACAAAUCGCUGACUAUAUUCGAAAAUGUUGUAUAAGUGGCUUGCGUAAUGCUCGUACCACAAGUGUAUGCGAUAGAAUGGAUUCAACUAUAGUAAAUAUAUCUAAACUUUGGCUUGGAUUGUGCUCCUCGACAUUUGACGUAUGCUGUUCAAAAGAGUUGGACCGUCAGAAUUGUGAGCUCGGUCGUUUGGCUGCAUUGGAGGGUGCUUCGUGCAAUAAAGGCUUUAAUUUGACGUCAACCUCGUAUACAAAUUGCUGCCGAGCCUGUCAAGUUGGUUUAGCUGUUAAGGCUAGUCAACAAAAAUGUACGGAUCCAUUGUUUUCGUUUCUUUUGAAUAUCGAUUCAUAUCGGUUAUGCUGCUCUGAUGACGGCUUCUCAAAUUCUGAGUUGGAGUCGGAGUCGUUGUUGGAGGG